rnacentral:lncRNA from 1 species
CAUAAAUAUUAUUGUCAUAAUUGCUGCACAGCUUUAGUUGACACGUGUAAAAUAAAUACUCAUUGUUCAUCCCAUAUCUUUAUAUUGGAUAUCAUUAGCCAAAUGAAACUUGUUUUAUUUCUGAAUUUGGAUGCAAUUAAAUCAUAUCAAUUGGAAAUUAUGUCAGAUUUACCAUCUUAUAAACGAUUCCUAUUUGAAAAUACACUACUUCUUGGUUUAUGGUUCUCAUUAUUAAAACCUAAUUGGAAUGCUUAUUUAAAGGAGUACAUCAAUGGAAAACUGUUUGAAACACCCCUUGAAAUUAACAAUAUCCAAGUAGUUAUUCAUAUU